rnacentral:misc_RNA from 1 species
GAUGAAGAACGCAGCGAAAUGCGAUACUUGGUGUGAAUUGCAGAAUCCCGUGAACCAUCGAGUCUUUGAACGCAAGUUGCGCCCGAAGCCAUCAGGUUGAGGGCACGUCUGCCUGGGCGUCACAUAUCGUUGCCCAAUGCCUAUUGCAGUGCAAUAGGAAUUUCUAGGGCGAAUGAUUGCUUCCCGUGAGCGUUGUUGCCUCGCGGUUGGUUGAAAAUCGAGUCCUUGGUAGGGUGUGCCAUGGUAGAUGGUGGUCGAGUUAGAACGAUACCGAUCAUGUGCAUGCUCCCCAAAAUAUGGCCUCUAUGACCCACACGCGUCUUUUGACGCUCAUGACGAGACCUCAGGUCAGGCGGGGCUACCCGCUGAAUUUAAGCAUAUCAAUAAGCGGAGGA